CAGCCGCCGCGGGAAUACGAAGGGGGCUAGCGUUGUUCGGAUUUACUGGGCGUAAAGCGCACGUAGGCGGAUCCUUAAGUCAGAGGUGAAAUCCCAAGGCUCAACCUUGGAACUGCCUUUGAUACUGGGGAUCUCGAGUUCGGGAGAGGUGAGUGGAACUGCGAGUGUAGAGGUGAAAUUCGUAGAUAUUCGCAAGAACACCAGUGGCGAAGGCGGCUCACUGGCCCGAUACUGACGCUGAGGUGCGAAAGCGUGGGGAGCAAACAGGAUUAGAGACCCCUGUAGUCCCUGUCUCUUAUAC
rnacentral:rRNA from 1 species